rnacentral:tRNA from 1 species
ACGGUGGUGGUUCAGUGGUAGAAUCCUCGCCUUCCAUGUGGGAGACCCAGGUUCGAUUCCCGGCCAGUGCA